AUACAGAGGGUGCAAGCGUUAAUCGGAAUUACUGGGCGUAAAGCGCGCGUAGGCGGGCAUUUAAGUCGGAUGUGAAAUCCCCGGGCUCAACCUGGGAAUGGCAUUCGAUACUGCAUAACUAGAGUAUGGUAGAGGGAAGUGGAAUUUCCGGUGUAGCGGUGAAAUGCGUAGAUAUCGGAAGGAACACCAGUGGCGAAGGCGACUUCCUGGGCCAAUACUGACGCUGAGGUGCGAAAGCGUGGGGAGCAAACAGGAUUAGAAACCCCAGUAGUCC
rnacentral:rRNA from 1 species